CAGGCCUAACACAUGCAAGUCGAGCGGUGAACCCUUCGGGGGGAUCAGCGGCGAACGGGUGAGUAACACGUGAGCAACCUGCCCCUGACUCUGGGAUAGCCUCGGGAAACCGGGAUUAAUACCGGAUAUGACACCUCCUCGCAUGGGGUGGUGUGGAAAGUUCUUCGGUCAGGGAUGGGCUCGCGGCCUAUCAGCUUGUUGGUGGGGUGAUGGCCUACCAAGGCGACGACGGGUAGCCGGCCUGAGAGGGUGACCGGCCACACUGGGACUGAGACACGGACCAGACUCCUACGGGAGGCAGCAGUAAGGAAUAUUGGUCAAUGGGCGCAAGCCUGAACCAGCCAUGCCGCGUGCAGGAAGACGGCCCUACGGGUUGUAAACUGCUUUUGUACCGGAAUAAACCUUGAUAUGUAUAUCAAGCUGAAUGUACGAUAAGAAUAAGGAUCGGCUAACUCCGUGCCAGCAGCCGCGGUAAU
rnacentral:rRNA from 1 species